rnacentral:rRNA from 1 species
ACGUAGGGUGCGAGCGUUAAUCGGAAUUACUGGGCGUAAAGCGUGCGCAGGCGGUUUUGUAAGUCAGAUGUGAAAGCCCCGGGCUUAACCUGGGAACUGCGUUUGAAACUACAAGGCUAGAGUGUAGCAGAGGGGGGUGGAAUUCCACGUGUAGCAGUGAAAUGCGUAGAGAUGUGGAGGAACACCGAUGGCGAAGGCAGCCCCCUGGGCUAACACUGACGCUCAGGCACGAAAGCGUGGGGAGCAAACAGGAUUAGAUACCCUGGUAGUCCACGCCCUAAACGAUGUCAACUAGUUGUCGGGUCUUAACGGACUUGGUAACGCAGCUAACGCGUGAAGUUGACCGCCUGGGGAGUACGGUCGCAAGAUUA